AAACUUUGCAUUAAUCCUGAGAAUUUGGUAUUUUUGUAUGAUUAUGACUUUAAGAGCUUUAAGAAUCUUAGCAAAGAACAAUUGACAAUUACACUUGUGGAUCAUCAUCACAUACAAAAGUGAGUAUUUGUCGUCAAAAAAAUCCUGGGUUGAACUACAACAAUAGUAAUGUCUCAACCAUGCAAUAAGCUGCAAUAGCUCUGGUAAUCAUGCAGUAAGCACUAGGUAUUUUUGACUUGCUGUGUGAUAAUGCCUCUUGUGUUUUUUCAUUUACAUUCUUUUAAUUAUUCCUUUUAAUAAAGAGAAAACUCAUAAAGGUUUUUUCUAAUUUUUUGUGUUAUGUUAAUAGUUCCCAUGUGCUUCAUGGGUGUGAGAUCACACAUGACAGAAAUAUUGGAUCAUCGCCCACAAGAAUAUGCUACUGCACCUGGCGUUGAAGUUUCUAUUUGUAAAGUGGGUUCAUGCAGUACUCUAAUUGCUACGAGGGUUUUGCAGAAUUUGAGAGAAGAUCAACUUCUACCCGAAGUCGUCACUUUGCUGUUAGGUUGGCGCACUAGCGUCGGACGAGGGCCGCGACCGGCUGGGCGGCGGGCAAACGGCUCCGGGCAAGGUAACCCCGCUUCGGCGGGGUGCUACAGGCCCGGUGCGCGCAAGGGUCGCCGCCCGGUCGAGGAGAGAUGCGCGCCGCACCUGCCCCGUUCGCGGGGCCGGGGAAGCCGUUCGAGCAGCGUCGUGUCGCGGUCCGGGACUGUCCUCAGUCCCGGGUCGUCUCGGCGCGGUUCCGAGCGGUCGCUCCCUCGCGAGGUGCCGCGGGUCAGCGGCUGACGCCAGCCACCUUCCCGACCCGUCUUGAAACACGGACCAAGGAGUCUAACAUGUGCGCGAGCCGCGGGGCAGUACGAAACCCGUAAGGCGAAAUGAAGGUGAACGCCGGCGCGGUCCGGCGGAGGUUGGAUCCCGUCCCGUCGGGGCGGGCGCACUACCGGCCGAUUUUUUCCGCCCUGUCGGCGAGGUCGAGCGAGAGCGUGCAAGUCGGGACCCGAAAGAUGGUGAACUAUGCCUGAGGAGGUUGAAGCCAGAGGAAACUCUGGUGGAGGACCGUAGCGAUUCUGACGUGCAAAUCGAUCGUCAAAUUUGGGUAUAGGGGCGAAAGACUAAUCGAACCGUCUAGUAGCUG
rnacentral:ncRNA from 1 species